rnacentral:rRNA from 1 species
AGAACCUUACCAGGUCUUGACAUCCUCUGACAACCCUAGAGAUAGGGCUUCUCCUUCGGGAGCAGAGUGACAGGUGGUGCAUGGUUGUCGUCAGCUCGUGUCGUGAGAUGUUGGGUUAAGUCCCGCAACGAGCGCAACCCUUGAUCUUAGUUGCCAUCAUUUAGUUGGGCACUCUAAGGUGACUGCCGGUGACAAACCGGAGGAAGGUGGGGAUGACGUCAAAUCAUCAUGCCCCUUAU